rnacentral:sRNA from 1 species
UACGUAGGGGGCAAGCGUUAUCCGGAAUUACUGGGUGUAAAGGGAGCGUAGGCGGCAUGUCAAGCCAGAUGUGAAAGCCCGGGGCUUAACCCCGUGGAUUGCAUUUGGAACUGGCAAGCUAGAGUACAGGAGAGGAAAGCGGAAUUCCUAGUGUAGCGGUGAAAUGCGUAGAUAUUAGGAAGAACACCAGUGGCGAAGGCGGCUUUCUGGACUGAAACUGACGCUGAGGCUCGAAAGCGUGGGGAGCAAACAGG